rnacentral:rRNA from 1 species
UACGGGGGGGGCAAGCGUUGUUCGGAAUUACUGGGCGUAAAGGGCGCGUAGGCGGCCCGCUAAGUCGAACGUGAAAUCCCCGGGCUCAACCCGGGAACUGCGUCCGAUACUGGCAGGCUUGAAUUCGGGAGAGGGAUGUGGAAUUCCAGGUGUAGCGGUGAAAUGCGUAGAUAUCUGGAGGAACACCGGUGGCGAAGGCGGCAUCCUGGACCGAUAUUGACGCUGAUGCGCGAAAGCCAGGGAG